AGUCCAGAGGAGUUCUGCGGCUGGAUUCUGACCACGGACUUCUUCGUCCCUACUUGCAGAGAAGAGUUAUGCUGACACGGAAGGAGGGACUUGGAGAGGGGAGAUUAACCUUUCGCUGGCCACGAUUCGUUCCCUCUUAUCGUGGAGGAUUCGGCAACCCACCCCCCUCCCACCCAGCCUAUCUGUCUGAAUUGCUGAAAGCAUAAUGCUCCCAUAUGAGAGAUAAUGUUGCUGUAAAAGACAGGAGGAUCUGUCUGCGUGUUCGAGGUGCGGCCUGAUGUCAUCCUUCAGGGCGGUGCCCGCAUGGAAACCAAGCAAAACUCUCUGGAGCUUUCCCAAAAAAGUUUCUUCCAAGCAUUAAGACCAUGAUGUCAGUCAGCUUCAGAGAAACAGCAUCAGAUCACCUGAGAAUCAGCAUGCAAGCCUCAGGUUUGAAAGGCACCAGGACACCUGCAAGAGGAGCCCCAGUUGUGCCUCCUCCAUGAUGAGGCUCAUACAGAGGUGCAGCCCCUCAGAUGGUGACAGGGAGACAGCCACCAGUGCCCUCACAGCACUGUCACUGUGUCUGACCACGUUCAUGAAGAAGGGAUGGGAAGUGCUGCCUGGACUGCCCCCAGCAGAAAGCCCCGUGGUGUCCCUUCCCCGCUGGUGCAGAGGCUCCGGGCUGCCACCGCAGAUCAUUUGACAAAUUUCACGGGCUUUUGAUACAGGCACAAAGGUUCACAGCCGGCUCUUGUCUAGUUGGUGAGACCGUCCAGUCCCUCUUGUGUCAUUUGUGGUGGCAUUACAGACUUUGAGAAUGAUCUGAAGGACAAACCCCAAGCUGUUUGGAUGCUGCUCAGCCCAAAAUACGUGAGAAGAGCUAUUCCGACGUGAGUUUCUUCUCUGCACUGCAAUGCAGGGAUGGAGCUAAGGAUGAGCAAUGGGAGCACUGUCAGGAUUACAGCCAGGAGCAGCCCUGCUGGUCGGAUGGGCAGAUGAAUGCACCGACAGAGGCUUCCCAGUGUGACACUCCAAGGCUGCCCCUUCCUGGGGCCAAUGUCCUCAUCCCACAGCUGUUUUCUCAGGCUACAAUAUGUGAGGAAAGCUGAUGCUGCUGUGCUGCUUAACUGGCAAGAAUUUGAAAAGAGGAAGCAAUUCGCAAGUGUAGGUGUACUUUGGUAUUAGUUAAUAUUUAUUUGUUUGUGUUAUUCUGUAUUUAUUCCCUUAUUAGCAGACAGUCCUGCCUGGAGACUGAGCUUUCUACCAAUUUCUGAGGUUUGCUCUUCAGAAGUUCUAACACUGGAAGACAUUUUUCAACACGAGCCUGCAACUGAGGAGUGGAAAACAGGAAAAUAUGGAAUCAAAACCCUAUGGAAUUUUUUCCCUUAAGCUGAAUUCCUGUUCAGAAAGAAGUGGCAAAGAACAGCCGUUCUUCACCUGAAGGAAAACGACUUGUCUGGCAGAGGCAGAGCUCUUCAAAAGUUACCAGAGUGAAGGUUCCUGUUUACAACGGUGAAGAGUAACUCACGUAAAUUCCUAAAGGACCCAUGAGCAUUGGCUGACUAACUAUUUAGCAGAAUGAGAAGAAUGAGCAUCAGGUAAUGGGAUACAAGUGGAAAACUCUCUGUGAUGCCCAUGGAUAUCAGUACAAACCCCCUUUUUCAAUGCCAAGGUUAUGGGACUGACUGCAGGACUCAUUUUUGCUCAGUGUUGGGUCACCGCAUACGACAACAACAGUUAAGAAGAAAUUUGGUUGAUGUCUCAUUUCGAGGGGCUCUAGUACUGCCAGCCUCCUGACUCCAGACUUGCAGAAAGCAGUAGAUUGAAAGGCGGCUUCUGAAAGAGGGGCAUCUCUGCCUAAAAUCAAUUGUAACUAAAAACCUGAAAAUUGAUGGAUUUACACCAAGGCUGAAAGCAGUUUAUGGCUGGAGACCUCAGAAAUCUCCAGUAUGGAUUACUGCUUUUAUAGGUCUGUUCUGGUCUUCUCCUUUUCCUUCACCUCCUCCUUCUCCUCGCUUUUAAACUUGAGAGCUCAAAACAAUCUCUAGCAAUUUUCAGUCAGGAUCAGGCUGACUGGGAAGCAGGAGGUUUUUGCAACUGGACUUCAACAUGUUGGAGAAAUAACUGAGGAAAAGUUUUCCUGCUACCGCUCACCAAAGAAAUGUAAAGGGAGCAGUGGUCACCUUCCUCUUCCAGAGUUAGCGAUACCUUGGGAAGACUCUGGCAGUCGUUGCUGUCAGAGCAGGGGCUUUAGGACAGGCUUUAGGAAGAGAGCACUGAGGCUUCACAGGUCGUGGUUUGCAGUUCAGCAUCACACUUUCCACUCACUGUAUCAAUUCUGAAGUUCAUCUCCCACUGAAAGUGUUCCUUGGUGCCUCAUUCCUUGCACACUGACCUCCCCAGGCCGUGCAGCCUGCAUGGAUUUAAUGCCUGCUCUAUGAUCCAGCUCCAUGGACAAAUGCAAACAUAUGUGGCAAAUGCUGACAGUUUUCUCCAACAUAAGAAGUCAAGAAAUAAGGAAUUACUGUUAUCUCCAUUUCCUAAAUGGGGACUGGAAGCCACAGCUCAGCCAACACUUCUGGCUGUCAAUGACAGAAGCAGCCCAGUCCCUUCGGUCCCUGUGGGGUCCCUUUUCUCACGCUGGGAUAAGCAUUUGUGCAUCUGUAUUUUGGAACUGAUUGAGGAACUUAUCCAUCUGAAAACUAAUCCAGGGAGGGGAAAAAAAAAAAAAAAAAGAGUUUUUAUUUCAGCCACAUCAACUUCCUGAUUUUGGUUUGAAUGCAGCCCAGCAGGACGGGACUGAGCAGCUACGACGGUGGGAGUGGAAUGCAAGGAUUUUGGAUGGAAUUACAUGAAAUCACAGAAGAAAUAUGACAUCAAGAAGACAAUGUAGGUCUCCAGAAUGCACAGAUGCCUUUCUCUGUUGUAAAUGCCAUCCCCUCACAAUCUAGCAGAGGUUUGCUGGCUGUCUACCACUGCUCUGAGCCACCCAAGGUUUAUCCUGUGUAGACAACAUAUCUCAGGAGUGUUGUGUUUGGUGGAAUUAAAUGACCCUCUGCCCAGUCAAAAGUUAAUUAUUUGGGGGUGGAGGUUGCAGGGGGAUUAUUUCAGCAGCCACACUAAUGAAGGUGGGAUCAGACAGGUUAAAAAUAAGUGUAGACACAAGGAAGACAUGGGAAGGGAAAAAAACAGCUUAACCUAUGCAGUGGGACGAUGGCCUGCAUCACUAUUAUGGCAAGAGUUUUGUUCAGGAGGAGAGACAGAACUACAGAGAUAUUUUGCAGGGUUAGCACGUCUUCCUCUGUCUGAUACACUCCCUGUUUCCCACUUUUCCCUCGAUGGCAGGUAAUAAAAUGCCUGCUGGUACCCCCCAUGACUAGAGGUACCCGGAGUGGUUCAGCCCAUCGUGAGUGCUGUGCCAAUCAUUUAACAAUUCCCACAGCUGCCUUUGUGAGAAGCCUCUCUCUUAAGCCUCUGGUUUAAGAAUUUAGAGUAAUCAUGUAAAAAUGAUACCCCUGUGCUCUAUGAUCCGCUGAAUCUCACUAAUGCCGGAUCCCAGAAGAGGGCUUAUUAAUGAAAAGAUGCAAUGCCUCUCUCUCUGCUCGUGUUUCACAUGAAUAUCUCUCAUGGAUUCGGCAGUAAACCGUACUGCUGAUAAAGUGGGUAUAAUGAACCUCCGUGCUCCACGAGAAGGAAAUCUCGGACUGAUGGAAUAGUUACCUGCUCCACUUCCCAGCACAAUGGCAGGCUCGGCAGGGACAAGGAGAAGCACUCGGCUGCCACGGGAAUAGCGGUGCAGGCUCCCAAAUCCUGGGCCUGCUUUGCAAGCGAUGCCUUCGGCUGUGUGAAAAGAUCAAGAGUUUGGAAGGGAGCGGUUCGUAAUUAGCUGAGAGAAAUGAAAUUAUGCUUUGCUGUAAAUCACCGAGUCAACAGACGGAAGGAGGUUUUUAAAGGGACAGCAGCACCUUGAGGCUACUCUGUGUCCUUUCAACAUCACACAGUAGUCAAAAACCCAGCUGGCUCUCGCCAGUUGGCCAGAUUUUCAGCAAGGACGAGCACCAAGUGUUCUGCAAACAGCAGGAUCCCGCCACUUCCAGCCCCUGACAUCUAAUUUUCAAAUACUUUCAAGUACUGCCUCUGUCCUCAAGCUCCCCUGUUAACGGCAGCAGGUUUUGUCAUCAAGAAUUUCAGAUUGUUAUAAAUCCUUCUGCUGUAGCAAAAACAAGCAAAUGAUGGAAAAUCUCCACACUAACAAAAAGAGAGGCAGCUUCCAUGUCUAUCCAUGGGAAGAGAAAGCAAGUGACUACCCAGAAAGCAGUGUGAGGCAAAGAAAAGGAACAGGUAAAAUACUGUAGGCAGCAGUGCAGUCAGGUUCUAUAUUUCUCUGAGGCCCUCUGUGAUUUAUGAUUUCCAUUAAAAGAAACACAUGCCUUACAAAUUACCCCUAAUCUCAGCAUCAGUAGGAUAGCACAGGGCAAGCAACAAGAGCCUGGAAGGUGUCACUCAGGAGUAUCCCAAAACGACAACAGAGACCAAUUUUGAGUCCAACAACCAGACUGUAUCUGCUCGGUGUAUCUCUGAUACCUGGAUCACCUUUACAGAGCCAGCCCCACGUAGCCAAGUCCAAACCUCUGUGAGGCUCCAAUCUGAAUACAGAAAAUUAUCACAGAGAUGACAGCACUGCAGGGUGACUAUAAUCCCAUCUCAAACACUGGUUGUUAUCCUCUGCAUGUCUGUUCACUGAUUUACCAAUCUGUGGAAAAGUUAGCACAGUCCCUCACUUCCAGGGGAUUCUCUGGUUAGAGGGAAUUCAAACACCCUGAAACUCUGUGAAACCUUAAACCUUCGUGUGAGCAGCUUGGGUAUAACUCCCCAUGUUAUUAAUACCUAAAUGCCCCAUAUGUUGUCUUUAGAGAGGAAGGCAGUCCCAUCACCUUUAUGUGUGUGCUUUCUUCCCUUGGCUUUUACAUUUCUUCCACACGCAGAAUGUACUUAACUCGCUGCUUAUUGAAUGAAGGAUUAGUAUUAUUUUCCUUCCUCCGGUGAACUUUGUUUCACUUCAUCCUGCAUAUAUUUUGCUAGGCUGUGUUUUCCUGCCAGCACACCACUGUUCAGCAAACCACCGUACUUAAGGCCAGCCAGCUAACACAGUGAUCCCUUUUUACUCACGAGGAGUGUUUCCAUAAUCAUGGCUGUGCUCGUGGGAUGAAUGACAGCUUACACCAAGGAGCACGGAACGCACUUCCAGAAGCUCUGCCGAGCUGGGACGCAACUAAAGCAGCUUCAAACUGCCAAGACACUUGAAACAUCCAGGGGAAGACACGGUUUGAAAUGGAGCCUGCUACUUAGCUCCUCUGCUGGCAUGAAUGUUGACCAGGGACUUCUCCAUCCUCCCUUUUCUGUGCUGCUCUAUCUCAUGUUGAGCUGGACUGGGAGCGCUUGGAAAAAUGCCCAGCUUUGGGCCCCGUAAAAAUUAGUAUAAAACAAACAGGUAACAAAUUUGCAGUGGCUCUGUAGGAGGUUUACAGUCUCUUUUCUUUUGUUGGGAAGAUUGGUUAUGUUGCCCAGUAGGAAAGCAAGUGGAAAAGAAGGGUUUCUUUACAACUCACUGUGCUCUUGGAAAAAUGGAUUGGGAGUUCCUGUUCGCAUCAGUGCAGCAAUGCAGACCUCUCUGGUGGAAGUAUUUUCUUUUUUUGGUGGAAUUAUACCUCAAGUCCUGCUAGGUAGUUACUCUCUUUGUUCCUGUGAGCCAAGCUAGUUGCAAGAUCAUGCUAUGCCAUGCUUAUAACCUCGCACUAAAGAGAUUACAAAGGGGGCAAAAUACCCUAGAGGGUUCCCCUUUAUCAGAACCUUCCCUGUCAGUUUGCCUUCUCAUUUCCUGAGCUCUUGUCUGAUUAUUAGUGUACUGACAGAAUAAAAAUAACCUCAUAUUCCUACAUGAAUCAUAAAUAAAACCCUUUUAUUUCAUCAAAGAGGUUGGCAGGUUUAUAGUCCUUUGCAAUGCAUGCACAAUGUGAAUGACAUACCUUUAAUUUUGCUGACAAGCUUGUCGGGGUCCUAAUGAAAAAGAGUGAAAAGUGGGUGACUUCUCUAAAGGUUUAGCAGUUGCUUUUUG